AGUUUGAUCAUGGCUCAGAUUGAACGCUGGCGGGAUGCUUUACACAUGCAAGUCGAACGGCAGCACGGACUUCGGUCUGGUGGCGAGUGGCGAACGGGUGAGUAAUGUAUCGGAACGUGCCUAGUAAAGGGGGAUAACUACGCGAAAGCGUAGCCAAUACCGCAUACGCCCUUCGGGAAAGCGGGGACCUUUCGGGCCUCGCACUAUUAGAGUGGCCGAUAUCGGAUUAGCUAGUUGGCAGGGUAACGGCUCACUGUAUGACGAUCCGUAGCUGGUUUGAGAGGACGACCAGCCACACUGGGACUGAGACACGGCCCAGACUCCUACGGGAGGCAGCAGUGGGGAAUUUUGGACAAUGGGGGGAAACCCUGAUCCAGCCAUCCCGCGUGUGCGAUGAAGGCCUUCGGGUUGUAAAGCACUUUUGGCAGGAAGAAACGGCACGGGAUAAUACCCCGUGCAACUGACGGUACCUGCAGAAUAAGCACCGGCUAACUACGUGCCAGCAGCCGCGGUAAUACGUAGGUGUAAGCGUUAAUCGGAAUUACUGGGCGUAAAGCGUGCGCAGGUUCGGAAAAGAAAGAUGUGGAAAUCCCAGAGCUUAACUUUGGAACUGCAUUUUUAACUACCGAGCUAGAGUGUGUCAGAGGGAGGUAAAUUCCGCGUGUAGCAGUGAAAUGCGUAGAUAUGCGGAGGAACACCGAUGGCGAAGGCAGCCUCCUGGGAUAACACUGACGCCUAUGCACGAAAGCGUGGGGAGCAAACAGGAUAGAUACCCUGGUAGUCUGGUCACGCCCCAAACGAAGUCAACCACGUUGGGGCCUUUGGCCUUGGGUAGCGCAGCUAACGCGUGAAGCUGACCGCCUGGGGAGUACGGUCGCAAGAUUAAAAACUCAAAGGAAUUGACGGGGACCCGCACAAGCGUGGAUGAUGUGGAUUAAUUCCGAUGCGACGCGAAAACUCACUUCACUCCCUGGAUAUGUCUGGAAUCCCGGAAGAGAUUUGGGGAGUGCCUCAGAGAACCGGAACACAGGUGCUGCAUGGCUGUCGUCAGUUCGUGUCGUGAGAUGCUGGGUUAAGUCCCGCAACGAGUAAACCCUUGUCAUUAGUUGCUAUUAGGGCACUAAUGAGACUGCCGGUGACAAACCGGAGGAAGGUGGGGAUGACGUCGAACCUCAUGGCCCUUAUAGUAGGGCUUCACACUAUUAUACAAUGGUCGGGACAGAGGGUCGCCAACCCGCGAGGGGAGCCAAUCCCAGAAACCCGAUCAGUCCGAUCGCAUGCGUCUGCAACUCGACCGUGAAGCCGGAAUCGCUAGUAUCGCGAUCAGCAUGUCGCGGUGAAUAUGCUCCCGGGUUCGUACACACCGCCUGGCUCCACCAUGGGAGUGGGUUUUACCAGAAGUAGCUAGCCUAACCGUAUGAGGGCGAUUACCAUUAGUGAGAUUCAUGAUCAGCGGUGUCGUAAUGCC
rnacentral:rRNA from 1 species